GGAUGUGUGUGUCAUGUGAUGGCACAGCUGAACAUUGAUUGCUUUCAUACCCUCCACUCGAGAGCAGAUCUGUCCAGUCGCGUGUCACACGUUGGCUUUCUAGAAGCACUCCGCUGUUCUCACAUUCAUUUGCGAUGUGAUCGAAUGGCACUGAGCAGCUACUCGAACGCCGCGGAAGCAUUAGCAUUUCAUAGACGUAGUUUGUUCACAUCCAUAUACUCGGCACUACAGACUGUAGUAUGCCAGUUUUUUG
rnacentral:snRNA from 1 species